CCUANGGGAGGCAGCAGUCGAGAAUUUUUCACAAUGGGCGAAAGCCUGAUGGAGCGACACCGCGUGGGGGAUGAAGGGUUUCGAUCCGUAAACCCCUGUCAUUUGCGAACAAACCUUCUCAUUUAAUAGAUGAGGAGUUGAUAGUAGUGAAAGAGGAAGGGACGGCUAACUCUGUGCCAGCAGCCGCGGUAAUACAGAGGUCCCAAGCGUUGUUCGGAUUCACUGGGCGUAAAGGGUGCGUAGGUGGUUGGAUAAGUUUGAUGUGAAAGCUCCGAGCUUAACUCGGAAAAGGCAUUAAAUACUAUUCGGCUAGAGGGUUGGAGGGGAGACUGGAAUUCUCGGUGUAGCAGUGAAAUGCGUAGAUAUCGAGAGGAACACCAGUGGCGAAGGCGAGUCUCUGGACAACUCCUGACACUGAGGCACGAAAGCUAGGGGAGCAAACAGGAUUAGAUACCCUANUANUC
rnacentral:rRNA from 1 species